rnacentral:rRNA from 1 species
UGGGGAAUUUUCCGCAAUGGGGGCAACCCUGACGGAGCAACGCCGCGUGAGGGAGGAAGGCCUGUGGGUUGUAAACCUCUUUUCUCAGGGAAGAAGAACUGACGGUACCUGAGGAAUCAGCAUCGGCUAACUCCGUGCCAGCAGCCGCGGUAAGACGGAGGAUGCAAGCGUUAUCCGGAAUUAUUGGGCGUAAAGCGUCCGUAGGCGGUUGUUCAAGUCUGCUGUUAAAGGCCAGGGCUUAACUCUGGACAGGCAGUGGAAACUGAGGAGCUAGAGUUCGGUAGGGGUAGAGGGAAUUCCCAGUGUAGCGGUGAAAUGCGUAGAUAUUGGGAAGAACACCAGUGGCGAAGGCGCUCUACUGGGCCGAGACUGACGCUGAUGGACGAAAGCUAGGGGAGCGAAUGGGAUUAGAUACCCCCGUAGUCC